GACGAACGCUGGCGGCGUGCUUAACACAUGCAAGUCGAGCGAUGAAGCACCUUCGGGUGUGAAUUAGCGGCGAACGGGUGAGGAACACGUGAGAAAUCUGCCUUCAACUCUGGGAUAACUCCGUGAAAACGGGGCUAAUACCGGAUAUGAGAUCUACAGGCAUCUGUGGAUCUGGAAAGUUUUUCGGUUGAAGAUGAUCUCGCGGCCUAUCAGCUUGUUGGUGAGGUAAUGGCUCACCAAGGCGACGACGGGUAGCCGGCCUGAGAGGGCGACCGGCCACACUGGGACUGAGACACGGCCCAGACUCCUACGGGAGGCAGCAGUGGGGAAUAUUGGGCAAUGGAGGAAACUCUGACCCAGCGACGCCGCGUGCGGGAUGAAGGCCUUUGGGUUGUAAACCGCUUUCAGCAGGGAAGAAGCGAAAGUGACGGUACCUGCAGAAGAAGCACCGGCUAACUAUGUGCCAGC
rnacentral:rRNA from 1 species